GAGAGUAUUAUGGGUAGUACUACACCUUCUAUACAGUAAGAAAAAUAGAAAUUUCCCUCUUCUCUUCCUAUAGCUUUCUCCUCUUCCUAUAGCUUUCUCUAUAUAAAUAUAGAACCUUUCUUUAGUCUCCUUACUAAGUCAUCUCUCUCUCUCUCUCUCUCUCUCUCUCCAUGCCUAUUGGUCUGUCUGGAAGAAAGGGGAGCUAUGGGCUUAUGCAUCUUCUUGAAGGAAAAAGAACUUUGAAGAAUCCUGAAGUCCCUGCAUUCUUCAGGUGCUGCUCCGAGAUAUAUAUCAGUUAAUUUCUCAAAAAUCAGGGUCAUAAAUAUUUGUACAAUGCUAAAGUUUUUCUUUUUCUUUAAUAAUGUUUAACUGCUAAUUAAUAAGAAAAAAAUGAGACUAAUUUUGCGAAUCAUCAGAGGUAGGCCAUGCAUGUGUAGUAGGGCAGUACAGCCAGCUUUCAGGUCACAUUUCUCUGAUCUGAAUCCGAUCUGGUUCGAAAGUUCAACAGAAAAUGUCGAAGCUAUUCUUCGUUCUACGAUAAUUUAUUUUAUCUACAUAUAGACCUGAUUAGUUUA